CAGGCCUAACACAUGCAAGUCGAGCGAAGCGCUUAAGUUGGAUUUCUUCGGAAUGACGAUUUUUGUGACUGAGCGGCGGACGGGUGAGUAACGCGUGGGUAACCUGCCUCAUACAGGGGGAUAACAGUUAGAAAUGACUGCUAAUACCGCAUAAGACCACAGCUUCGCAUGAAGUGGUGGUAAAAACUCCGGUGGUAUGAGAUGGACCCGCGUCUGAUUAGCUAGUUGGUAAGGUAACGGCUUACCAAGGCGACGAUCAGUAGCCGACCUGAGAGGGUGACCGGCCACAUUGGGACUGAGACACGGCCCAGACUCCUACGGGAGGCAGCAGUGGGGAAUAUUGCACAAUGGGGGAAACCCUGAUGCAGCGACGCCGCGUGAAGGAUGAAAGUAUUUCGGUAUGUAAACUUCUAUCAGCAGGGAAGAAAGUUGACGGUACCUGACUAAGAAGCCCCCGGCUAACUACGUGCCAGCAGCCGC
rnacentral:rRNA from 1 species